rnacentral:rRNA from 1 species
UACGAAGGGGGCUAGCGUUGCUCGGAAUCACUGGGCGUAAAGGGUGCGUAGGCGGACUCUUAAGUCGGUGGUGAAAUCCUGGAGCUCAACUCCAGAACUGCCUCCGAUACUGGGAGCCUUCGAGUCCGGGAGAGGUGAGUGGAACUGCGAGUGUAGAGGUGAAAUUCGUAGAUAUUCGCAAGAACACCAGUGGCGAAGGCGGCUCACUGGCCCGGUACUGACGCUGAGGUGCGAAAGCGUGGGGAGCAAACAGG